UAUUUUACGGUCACACAAACCGUAUUACGCGCAAGGAUUAUUUAAUUAUGCGGAGGAAUUUCGCUUUACGCGAAACAAUCUAAAACUUGAAAUGGAACGUUUUAUUUCGCUAUUUUGUCAGUUGACGGAUUCCGAGUGUUAUGAGAACUGUAAUUUUCGGGAGUUCUUUCACAUCCCUGAUCGUAUUGUCUUGUCUUAUAUUGAUUUUUAUACCAUUGACCUUAGAAAAAGCUCAGCAAUUUUAUGCAAAUUUCAGAAGAUUAUUGUCUACGAUUCACUAUUCUUUUUAUAUCACGGUAUCCAUUCAUUUCCAUGCCCUGGGUUAUCAAAGAACAAUUGCCUUGUGUCAUGUCUGACGAGUUUUUGCUGUUUAUUUGGUUUGAAACGAAAAAUGUCAAUCAAUUGUUAUAAAGUAUCUACUGGUUUACCAUUUUACAGGAAAUGUUACGCACUUUAGCUAUUCAGUUGGUUCUUAAUGGCUUUUAUCGAAAAUGUAAAAAGACACAUUAACCUUUAUCAGGUUUUCAGGAGAAUUUUGGAUAUUUCAGUAAAAGACAUGCUUAGGUAUUGCUAAGAUCUUGUCGGCUCUGUUUAAGUACAAAUACUUGCACUUUAACCAUAUCCAAUAAGAUGUUAGUUAGUAUUCAUUACAAAUGCAAAACUUUGAUACACUAUACACGACAUAUUAAUUGUUAUAUAUAUAUGCAAAACAUGUUUUAUCCAGUACAUAUAUCUGUACGAAACCAUCAAUUAAGAUAAUGAAGAAGAUCCUGCUCAUAAAGAGCUCUUGCACUUUAUUUGGUUAGAACAGAACAGAGCAGAACAUAUUUUGGAUUUAAGUAUAGACUUAAUUCACAUGUGUCUGAUAAAAUGCAUGUAAUGCUUUACAUGUUAUUUUCGUUUGUAGAUUUCACAAAAAAAUAUUUGUUCCGGAAAUAUAUCUGGUGAGUUUACUUGAUAUUUUAUAAUGUAUUUAGUGAUAGUAUUUAUGUGAGGAAUUGCAUUUUUCGCGAAGCUCAAUAUGUUAAAGUAAUGUUUUUAUAUUAUAUGUUAAAAUAAUGAUAUAUGAUGUAUUGUGUAAAUAUAACUUUAAGUUAAUAUGUCUGAAUACGGUGCAUAUAUUUUAUAUAUCUUCCUUAUUUUUCUGCUAUCAAUAACAUUGUCACGUUCAUUAUAAUUUGUCAUACUUUUCAAGUCUCCUUUAUUAAGCAACCCACCAAAUGAUGUGUUUUUUGAGAAAAACAUGUAUAUUUGUUUAUGCCAAUAAAUACUUUAACUUGACUUUGUUAUUUACCAUAACCGGAUUCCUACAACCUGUUUCUGAUUUACCUCCCUUUGAUUAUAACGGAGAAAAUUUGUUGAUCCUUUCACCGGAUUUAAAUAUUGGAGUUUAACAACGUAUGUAUUUUUCAACUUCGUAAAUUUCAGGGUGAUGUUUUUUCUAUUUCAUCAGGGUUUUCUUGUUAAGCUUACUAUUCCGUGUUGAAUUCUUGAUGUGGAUUUUUCGGCACUCCAAUACAGAACAGGUUAUAUGGCACAAAACAGGACUAAAUUUUUGGUUUCACCUCUCUUUUACAUCGAACUAAAAGUAUGAGGUACGGAGUAACAUUUUUAUACCUGCUGGAAUCACACAGACACAGCAAUUUAUUUCAAACCCGUUGUUCCAAAACACCCCUACUGUAACCCAGUCUAUAUUCGUCACGUGAUUAAUGGUGGCGGCCACCCGUUUAUUGUGCUCCGUAGGUGAGCGAAACAAUAACAUGACUGCCAUGUUUUACACUCAAGAGGGCGAUAAAAGGUAAUAUAAUUCAUCACAACUGCGAUUUAAACAGAAGGAGCUGAUUGGCUGCGUUUGUUACGGCCUACAAGACAUACAACAGUCGUUUUGCUCCGUGUUUCUACUGUGAAUAACGAAUGACUUAAGCCACUUUUGAUAUGACAAUUUCGCCAAGAAUAUGGCAUAUUUAUAACACAGCCUGUUUAAUAAAAAGUACUCUUCUGGAGCAAAUAAAUAAAACUUGAUAAGUUGGUCCAAAUUAAUUAGGCAGAGGGCGUCAAGGCUUAGAUGGAGGAUAUAUAUAAACCUCAGUGCGUAUAGACUUUUAAUUACAGAACGUCUUUAUAUAUUAAAAUUGUACUUAAGAACAGAUUCACUGCCGUGCAUGAUGCAUGUUCGUGACACAAGAUGACAGUUUUGCUUGAAUUCAAACGAUAAGUUGGAAAAAUAACGUUUACGCCGUUGUCUAAAACGGAUCAUCUCACGUGCCGAGGAAAAGCUGCUCAAACUGAGCAAAGUAGCAAACAGUCAACUAUCUUUCUAUAUUCCUGUAUUAAGUUUCCUAAAUCUUUGGUUAAUAAAUGUUACCGAGGAGUCAAAAUCUUUAAGCAUUUUCCUCACCCUAAAUACAGUGAAAAUCCAUAUUGUCGUCAAUGAUUAGGCCAGUUAGGCUAAGUUGUUUUGUAUCCCUAUAUACUGUUUUGUGCAAAACACGCUGCAUUUUUAUUAACCCCUGCUUCUUUCUUAAAAAACUAAAGAACUCACAUUUCUUCUUUUAUUUUAGGGGAUAGGUAAAUGGCGACUUUCAGUCUCAUUGUAGAUUUAUUCAUUUGAUUUCAUAUUGAUUUGUUAGUGCAAUUCUUAGUAUUUUGUGAUGUUUCAAAGCAAAUUCUGACAAAAAUAAAGAUAGAAGCCAUUAAGUUGUCUUUUUAUUCGCUUUUGGUAUCACCGCUUGUAAAAAUAUAAAUAUUUGUUUCAUCGGCACAACAAAGUCCCCAUUAUUCCAUUAAGUCCCGUGUAUUAUACGCAGAUAUCAAUACAUUACUUUGAGAAUUUGAUAUCGCAAACAGAAAAUCGCUAAUGCUUUUCGUGUCUUUACCACGAUUUCGGUCAUUGAUUUCCCAAUAAUAACAUGCAAAUUGGAUUCAAAAUGCAAAUAAAUAGUUCUGUUGCACGCAGAUUCCUGUACUCUGAUGUCCAUUGAAUUUGUCAUGGAAUUAGGAAAGUACGCGACAGAAGUCAUAACAAAUACACGAAAUAAUACUUUAAACAUAUAUAUAUAUAUUGUCAACGCAUGAAGGACAUAUCCCUGCAACGCCCCUUAAUAUUAUGAAACAGCUGUUGAAAUAGUAAAUUGGUUUAGAUUAAAUUUGUUGUUAUUUUCAUCAUCAUUAUUGCGUUUGUUGUGAUUAUAACUGUUGCUACUUUUGUUUUAAGACACGUUUGCAGGUCUUGUUGACAGUUAUUACUGAUUAUAAUAAUCUCCAGGGUGAUAAUAAAUGCUAUAUAAUAAUAAGUAACAAACAAACUAACAGAAAACGUGGAAAUGCCAAAUGUAUUAAUGGUAUAUUUGGUAGGAAAAUGGCUGAGAAAUCCAAAUGUAAAAAUAGUAUAUGUGUAAGAAUAAUGGCCGGGAAAUUAUUUCAAAUGUUGAAAUGGUAUAUGUUAAAGAAUAAUGGUUGGGAAAUGCCAAAUGUAAAAAUGGUAUAUGUGAAAGAAUAUCG